UAUUUUAACCUGCGUGUCGUGAUCGCGUUUGGUGUUGGGGACAAAAUACAUUUAUGCACGAUGGCGCACGCGUGCAGACGGUUUGGGGUCCAUGGGUUAGGGAUGUCACAAGGAUACCAGAUAGGCGGCCUAAAAUAGGUUCACAACCUGCUGUUUGUACCAAUUCUGCAGCUGUUCAUUUUCCAAAGGUGUUAAUUAUAGAACAAAAUGAAAGCAGCAAUGAAAAAGGGGUGGAGUGUGAAUAAGCCUACUACAUUUUAUAUGCAUGUCUAUAGCGUGAUUAAAAAAGUUAACAUGCCAUCUACGGUCAUGCUAUCAAUGGCAUAGCCUAGGCUAUUUGUGAGGUACCAGUUUGGAGUGUGGGGCAUGUUAUGGAAGUGACAAUGUCUGUGUAAAUGUACUGUAUGUUUAAUAUUAGUUUGAAAUGCAACACUUUCUCAACAUAAUUAUAUGUAGGCUAAAGGGAACUUUUUUAUAUUUUCUCUGUCUUCAUGUUGCACAGGGAUGGAUGGAUGUCAGGUCUCCUGCUUUGGUAGCAGAAACAUCCUCGGCAGGGAGAAGUCUGCCACCAAGUUGAAAGCCUCAUUUCAGGAGACUUGUAGACAUGGCAGGUCAGCUUGUAGCUUCCCACGGCGGCAGAGGGUGGUUUCCACGUCAGCAACGCUGAGCGAGGAGUCACCUGACUGGCCUUCAGGUCACGCGGGACUUCCCCGUCUCCCUCGGAUCCUGCCAGAUGGACAUGGACACAAUCACAAGAAGCUCAGUUGUGGGAUUCAAUAAAAACAGCAGCCUUCCUUUU